rnacentral:rRNA from 1 species
UCAACGCUGGCGGCGUGCAUGAGACAUGCAGGUCGAACGGACACUCACGGGCUUGCCUGUGAGUGUUAGUGGCGGACGGCUGAGUAACGCGUAGGUGACCUGCCCCGAAGUGGGGAAUAACUGCCCGAAAGGGUGGCUAAUACCGCAUGUGGUGAUGCGUUCGAUCGCAUCAGUAAAGCCGCAAGGCGCUUCGGGAGGGGCCUGCGUCCGAUUAGCUCGUUGGUGAGGUAACGGCUCACCAAGGCGACGAUCGGUAGGUGGUCUGAGAGGACGAUCACCCAGGCUGGGACUGAGACACGGCCCAGACUCCUACGGGAGGCAGCAGUCGGGAAUUUUGCGCAAUGGACGAAAGUCUGACGCAGCAACGCCGCGUGAGGGAUGACGGCCUUCGGGUUGUAAACCUCUUUUGUCAGGGACGAUGAUGACGGUACCUGGCGAAUAAGCCACGGCUAACUACGU